AACGCUAGCUACAGGCUUAACACAUGCAAGUCGAGGGGUAACGAGAGGGAAGCUUGCUUUCCUUGUCGACGACCGGCGCACGGGUGAGUAACGCGUAUGCAACCUACCUAUCAGAGGGGAAUAACCCGGCGAAAGUCGGACUAAUACCGCAUAAAACAGGGGCACCGCAUGGUGAUAUUUGUUAAAGAAAUUCGCUGAUAGAUGGGCAUGCGUUCCAUUAGGUAGUUGGUGAGGUAACGGCUCACCAAGCCCACGAUGGAUAGGGGAACUGAGAGGUUGGUCCCCCACACUGGUACUGAGACACGGACCAGACUCCUACGGGAGGCAGCAGUGAGGAAUAUUGGUCAAUGGGCGAGAGCCUGAACCAGCCAAGUCGCGUGAAGGAAGAAGGAUCUAUGGUUCGUAAACUUCUUUUGCAGGGGAAUAAAGUGCAGGACGUGUCCUGUUUUGUAUGUACCCUGAGAAUAAGGAUCGGCUAACUCCGUGCCAGCAGCCGCGGUAAUACGGAGGAUCCGAGCGUUGUCCGGAUUUAUUGGGUUUAAAGGGUGCGUAGGUGGUUUAAUAAGUCAGCGGUGAAAGUUUGCAGCUUAACUGUAAAAAUGCCGUUGAAACUGUUAGACUUGAGUGUAAAUGAGGUAGGCGGAAUUUGUGGUGUAGCGGUGAAAUGCUUAGAUAUCACGAAGAACUCCGAUUG
rnacentral:rRNA from 1 species